GAUGAACGCUGGCGGCGUGCCUAAUACAUGCAAGUCGAGCGAACAGACGAGAGUGCUUGCACUCUCUGACGUUAGCGGCGGACGGGUGAGUAACACGUGGGUAACCUACCUAUAAGACUGGGAUAACUUCGGGAAACCGGAGCUAAUACCGGAUAAUAUUUAGCUUCGCAUGAAGCAAUAGUGAAAGACGGUUCUGCUGUCACUUAUAGAUGGACCCGCGGUGUAUUAGCUAGUUGGUGAGGUAACGGCUCACCAAGGCAACGAUACAUAGCCGACCUGAGAGGGUGAUCGGCCACACUGGGACUGAGACGCGGCCCAGACUCCUACGGGAGGCAGCAGUAGGGAAUCUUCCGCAAUGGACGAAAGUCUGACGGAGCAAUGCCGCGUGAGUGAAGAAGGUUUUCGGAUCGUAAAACUCUGUUGUAAGGGAAGAACAAGUACGUUAGUAACUGAACGUACCUUGACGGUACCUUACCAGAAAGCCACGGCUAACUACGUG
rnacentral:rRNA from 1 species